rnacentral:rRNA from 1 species
UGUUUGAUCCUGGCUCAGGACGAACGCUGGCGGCGUGCUUAACACAUGCAAGUCGAGCGAGAUGCAGCAAUGUAUCUAGCGGCGGACGGGUGAGUAACACGUGGGCAACCUGCCCUAUAGAGGGGAAUAGCCAACCGAAAGGUUGAUUAAUACCGCAUAAACCAAUACCACGGCAUCGUGGAGUUGGCAAAGGAGCAAUCCGCUAUAGGAGGGGCCCGCGGCCCAUUAGCUAGUUGGUGAGGUAACGGCCCACCAAGGCGACGAUGGGUAGCCGACCUGAGAGGGUGAUCGGCCACAUUGGAACUGAGACACGGUCCAGACUCCUACGGGAGGCAGCAGUGGGGAAUAUUGCGCAAUGGGGGAAACCCUGACGCAGCAACGCCGCGUGAGUGAAGAAGGCCUUCGGGUCGUAAAGCUCUGUCUUUGGGGACGAUAAUGACGGUACCCAAGGAGGAAGCCACGGCUAACUACGUGCCAGCAGCCGCGGUAAUACGUAGGUGGCGAGCGUUGUCCGGAAUUACUGGGCGUAAAGGGUGCGUAGGCGGUAAUUUAAGUCAGAUGUGAAACCCCGGGGCUCAACUUCGGGAUUGCAUUUGAAACUGGGUUACUAGAGUGCAGGAGAGGAAAGCGGAAUUCCUAGUGUAGCGGUGAAAUGCGUAGAUAUUAGGAAGAACACCAGUGGCGAAGGCGGCUUUCUGGACUGUAACUGACGCUGAGGCACGAAAGCGUGGGGAGCAAACAGGAUUAGAUACCCUGGUAGUCCACGCUGUAAACGAUGAGUGCCAGGUGUAGGGGGUGUCAUGCCUUCUGUGCCGCAGUAAACGCAAUAAGCACUCCGCCUGGGGAGUACGGUCGCAAGACUAAAACUCAAAGGAAUUGACGGGGGCCCGCACAAGCAGCGGAGCAUG